CCUACGGGAGGCAGCAGUGAGGAAUAUUGGGCAAUGGAGGCAACUCUGACCCAGCCAUGCCGCGUGCAGGAAGACAGCCCUAUGGGUUGUAAACUGCUUUUAUACAGGAAGAAACACUAGUACGUGUACUAGCUUGACGGUACUGUAAGAAUAAGGACCGGCUAACUCCGUGCCAGCAGCCGCGGUAAU
rnacentral:rRNA from 1 species